rnacentral:miRNA from 11 species
AGCUUGCGUUUGUCUUAGCUGGUA